rnacentral:rRNA from 1 species
GACGAACGCUGGCGGCGUGCUUAACACAUGCAAGUCGAACGGAAAGGCCCUGCUUUUGUGGGGUGCUCGAGUGGCGAAGGGGUGAGUAACACGUGAGUAACCUGCCCUUGACUGGGGGAUAACUUCAGGAAACUGGGGCUAAUACCGGAUAGGAGCGCCUGCUGCAUGGGGGGGGUUGGAAAGUUUGGGUCGUGGGGGAUGGACUCGCGGCUUAUCAGCUUGUUGGUUGGGUAUUUGCUUACCAAGGCUUUGACGGGUCGCCGGCCUGGGAGGGUGAACAGGGACAUUGGGCCUACGGUACGGCCCAGUGUCCUACGGUAGGCAGAAGGCGAGAGUCUUGUCCAAUGGGCCCACGCGUGAUGCGGAAGCCCUGCGUGCGUGAUGCCGGCCUUCGUGUUGUAAACCGCAUUCGCCUGUGACGAAGCGUGAGUGACGGUAAUGGGUAAAGAAGCACCGGCUAACUACGUG